GGAAGCAGGAGGCGCCUCUAUCCAGUGGUCUGACCGAGCACUGGACAAGACGUGCCUCCAAUUACCCCCAUCUCCUUGGACAAGUCACUCAGCCCCUGAUUUCCCAUCUGAAAAGUAAGAGUGGAAGUGUACCCAGGGGUGAAAGCGUCCCCAGUGGUGGAUGGAGGGAAAGGGGACCACUAGGUGAUGUGGAGUCCCAUUCACACUCUAAAGGCAUCAGCAUUCAAAGGCAAAGACCAGGGCAGUGAGUGUCUGGAGUGAGGCAGGCUGAGGGGGGGAUGCCCAGAAUGACUCUACCCAGGGUGGUCUAUAACCUGAUGAAUAAGAGUCACAGGAGCAUGAGGAGAACUCAUCACUCACUCUACCAACAGCCUGAACCACGUGCUGGGCACGAGGGACAGCAGGGGAUGAAACACACACCAUCCUUGCCCUCCUGGACUUUAUUCUGCUGUCAGUGUGGGGGCAAGAGCAACAGUAAACAAACGAGCAGGUUUGACAGUUUUCACAAUAAAAUAUUAAGCAGAAGAGGAUCUUCCCUGGAUGCACAUCUGCCUACAGCUACACCCAGUUUUUCCACCGAUUGACGCAGCCAACCUUCCGCAUAGAGUCUUUGACACUUGGGCUUUCACUCCUCCCCCGGCCCAUUCAUGCGUCUGUCUAUUCCCAGCUGGUUUCUGCCCAUCGCCACACUGGACCUGCCUGGCCCAGAUCCUCACCGCUUCCAUGCUGCCCACCC
ensembl:lncRNA